rnacentral:tRNA from 1 species
CCUGGUGGCUCAGAUGGUAAAGCAUCUGCCUGCAAUGCUGGAGACCUGGGUUCAAUCCCUAGGUCAGGA